ACAGCAUACAUAGUCUUAUAGAGCAGUAUUUCCCAACCAGUGCGCCCCCAGCUGCCGCAAAACCACAACCCCCAGCAUGUCCAGACAGCCUUUGGCCGUGCGGGCAUGCUGGGAGAUGCAGUCCCGCAACAGCCGGAGGCACACCGACCGGGAAACACCGAU